CAGCAGCCGCGGUAAUACCGGCGGCCCGAGUGGCGGUCACUAUUAUUGGGCUUAAAGCGUCCGUAGCCGGGUUGGGAAGUCCUCCGGGAAAUCUGGCCGCUUAACGGUCAGAAUGCCGGAGGAUACUCCCAGCCUAGGGAGCGGGAGAGGCCGAGGGGAUUCCCGGGGUAGGGGUGAAAUCCUGUAAUCCCGGGAGGACCACCUGGGGCGAAGGCGCUCGGCUGGAACGGGUCCGACGGUGAGGGACGAAGGCCAGGGGAGCGAACCGGAUUAGAUACCCGGGUAGUCCUGGCGGUAAACGAUGCGGACUAGGUGUCGGGCAAGCUAAGGGCUUGUCCGGUGCCGCAGGGAAGCCGUUAAGUCCGCCGCCUGGGGAGUACGGCCGCAAGGCUGAAACUUAAAGGAAUUGGCGGG
rnacentral:rRNA from 1 species